UGGAUAGAUUAUUGUAUUCGACUGUAUUCAUGACGUGAAAUAGGGGAUUACACUGUUUUUAAACGGAAAGUGAAUCAAUUAACAUAAUAAACUCCU
rnacentral:pre_miRNA from 1 species